rnacentral:rRNA from 1 species
GUGGGGAAUCUUAGACAAUGGGCGCAAGCCUGAUCUAGCCAUGCCGCGUGAGCGAUGAAGGCCUUAGGGUUGUAAAGCUCUUUCGUGGGGGAAGAUAAUGACUGUACCCCAAGAAGAAGCCCCGGCUAACUCCGUGCCAGCAGCCGCGGUAAUACGGAGGGGGCUAGCGUUGUUCGGCAUUACUGGGCGUAAAGCGCACGUAGGCGGACUGGAAAGUCAGGGGUGAAAUCCCGGGGCUCAACCCCGGAACUGCCUUUGAAACUCCCAGUCUUGAGUUCGAGAGAGGUGAGUGGAAUUCCGAGUGUAGAGGUGAAAUUCGUAGAUAUUCGGAGGAACACCAGUGGCGAAGGCGGCUCACUGGCUCGAUACUGACGCUGAGGUGCGAAAGCGUGGGGAGCAAACAGGAUUAGAAACCCUGGUAGUCC